rnacentral:lncRNA from 1 species
CACGCAACAACUUCAACAAAUUCAAUAACUCAGCCACAAUUUUAACACUCAACAGUACAACAACGACAAAAAAACAAAUCAACAAUAUUCGUACAAUUUCAGUCAAACUUUAUCUCAAAUUUUAAAAUUUAAAUUUCAAUUCAUUUUUCCUUUUUACCCCUCCGUUUCUCCCUCAAAGUUAGUCCCAAUUCUCCUAUAAAUACCCAUGUAUGUAGAAGAAGGAGGGGGGGAUUUUUUGGGGAAAAAUUGAGAAUUUGGAAGAGCAUUCCUCUAAUCUCACGUAACCAAAAAUUCAUGGUGAAAAACAAUUGAUUCAGUGAAAUCAUGAAAGUUUCAAGGAAGUUAACUUGAGUUCCAGCGAAAUCGAGUGAAACUCCGGUGGUGAAAACCUCAUCGUAAUAGGCUCGUCGUCCUAGUUUGCUGCCCCGAAAAAGGUGUCAACCCAUCCCCUUCUCGUUUUUUUCGCCUUUUUUCUUCAUAUAUUUUCGAUUUUAUUGAAUAUAAGAGUUAUUUUGAUUUCGAGCUGUGUUGUUGUCAGUUCUCCAGAAGUCAACUUUAGAGAUAUGGUUUCGUCUUUUUUUUCUUCAAAGAUAUAAUUUAUUCGAUUGCUUUCUGUCUAUCUUUUGUUUCAAAGUGUUCAUGUGAGUCAUAAGUGUCGUGAUACGGGCAGAGUAUUUCUAGCUAUUUUGUUGCCGAUUUGAGGAUAUGUUAAUUGAGUUUCGUUUUACUUUGAAUUGGCCACUAUAGUGUCGCCUUUUUGUCUUUAAAUGUGUAAAAGCGUGUGGAUUAGAUUUAAUAAUUUGGCUUGAGAGGUUGUGCUUAAAUGGAAGGUGUAGAACUAGAUUAAAUCUAUACAUAAAUUCAUCCUUUGCUUCACUUUUAUUUUCUUCUCCUUCCCUGGUUUUGGCUUUAUUUUCGUGAAUAUGUGACAAUUUUUGACCUUAAGUAUGCAAGAAUCUAGGUCCACUUUUUGCAGAUUAGUUUGCUUUUUUUUUUAAAAAAAAAAAAAAAAGAUUGUGUGUACGUUUUUGAUUCUUUAAUGGUUAAAUUCAAUUUUUCUUCGGGUGUAUUUAAAGGAGGUGUGAACUUUAGAGAUUAUGUGAUAAUCUAGAAAUAAUAGUUCAUCAUGGUAACGCUAAGGUUAGCAUUAAAUGGGUUAAGAAAUUGUCGGGUUUUCCUAGCGUAUUCAUGUAGAUCAAGGUGUUUAAGGUUUUGUCAUUUGGUUGAUUAAAAUUAUCAAUUUUUGUUUAAAACUAGUUCAAGAGCCGUAUGGUGUUAUCUUAGUGCAAGUUAAAAUAUUUGUUACCAUUAUUAUCUAUUCUGGGAUAGAUUUCUACUCUCUCCGUCCCAUUUUAUCCGUUUCAAAUUUUCUAUGUCCCAUUUUACUUGUCUUUUUUUACUUAUUAAGACAAGACAAUUUUUUUUUUCCAUAUUGUACCCUUUGCAUUAAUUAUUUUUUCUUUAAAUUAAAAUGUAAACAUCAUUUAAUAGGGGUACUAUGGUAAACUUGCUAUGCUAUUUAUUAUAUUUCUUAAUAGCUGUGCCAUUCCAAUUUGGGACGAGUAAAAUGGGACGGAAAGAGUAUAUGGAUACAACUUAAAUCCUCAAUUUUAAUUUGGGAUAAGACUCUGCCAACAUGGAUUUAUCAAUACGAUUCAUCAUAUUUUGUAACUCUUAACUCAUGUUCUAAUCCUUAUCUCGUCUUCUCUUUACAUGAACUCUUUCAGACGAGUCCAAUGGGACUUUUCAUAUCCUUGCAUUCGAAUGCCAUCAAGUCGAGCCUCAUUAAAGUCCAAAAUUGGACUGAUAUACACAAAAUAGCACAAGCAUACAAGCUGGUAUAUGCUGAUAUACAGCAGGUAUACACGUAAAGCAGUAGCUGCACUUUAUCACGUAAUUUUUGAUGGAAAGGGGAGGAGAAAUAAGCAGUUUUAGACACUGAUAUACACUGUAAAUGCAGUGAUAUACACAAAAACGUUGAGACUUAAGCUAUUGAUAUACAUCUGGUAUACACUUCAGAAAAAUGGACUGAAGUCCAUAAUUCAAAGCCCAAGCUGGGUAGCUUUACUGAUGGGCUUUCUUGUAUUAUUUUUGUAGCUUGUAUUGCUUAUUUGUAUUAACUAACUUUUUAAUCAAUUAAUCUAGAUAAACUCCCUAAAGUGUUG